rnacentral:tRNA from 1 species
CGGGUUUCAAGGUAUUAAGACCGGCGACAUGGGGUGUCGGGGGUCGGAGGUUCAAAUCCUCUCAUGCCGACCA